rnacentral:rRNA from 1 species
CGUGCAGGCGGUCUGUUAAGUCUGGCGUGAAAGCUCUCGGCUAAACCGGGAGAGGUCGUUGGAUACUGACGGACUAGAGGACGGUAGAGGCGUGUGGAAUUCCGGGUGUAGUGGUGAAAUGCGUAGAGAUCCGGAGGAACACCAGUGGCGAAGGCGACACGCUGGGCCGUACCUGACGCUAAGACGCGACAGCAUGGGGAGCGAACGGGAUUAGAAACCCCGGUAGUCCAUGCCGUAAACGAUGCCAGCUAGGUGUUCAAGACGCGCAAGCGGCUGGGGUACCGAAGCAAACGCGAUAAGCUGGCCGCCUGGGGAGUACGGUCGCAAGGCUAAA